rnacentral:rRNA from 1 species
UACGUAGGUGACAAGCGUUGUCCGGAUUUACUGGGCGUAAAGAGCGCGCAGGCGGUCGUUCAAGUCGAGUGUGAAAGCCCCCGGCUCAACUGGGGAGGGUCAUUCGAUACUGAUCGACUCGAAGGCAGGAGAGGGUAGUGGAAUUCCCGGUGUAGUGGUGAAAUGCGUUGAGAUCGUGAGGAACGCCCGUGGCGAAAGCGCGUCCCUGGACCCCACCUGACGCUGAGGCGCGAAAGCCAGGGGAGCAAACGGG